rnacentral:rRNA from 1 species
GACGAACGCUGGCGGCGUGCCUAAUGCAUGCGAGUCGAACGCUGAAGGAGGAGCUUGCUUCUCUGGAUGAGUUGCGAACGGGUGAGUAACGCGUAGGUAACCUGCCUGGUAGCGGGGGAUAACUAUUGGAAACGAUAGCUAAUACCGCAUAAUAGUAGAUGUUGCAUGACAUUUGCUUAAAAGGUGCAAUUGCAUCACUACCAGAUGGACCUGCGUUGUAUUAGCUAGUUGGUGGGGUAACGGCUCACCAAGGCGACGAUACAUAGCCGACCUGAGAGGGUGACCGGCAACACGGGGAAGGAGACAGGGCCCAGACGCAGCGGGGAGGAAGAGGGAGGGAAGUGUGGGAAAGGGAUGGAGUGCGAAACGACAAACGCCGGGGGGGGAAAGAGGGGUGUGGGGUCGAAAGUGUUGGUUGAAGGAAAAGAAAGGGGGGGGGAGUGAAAAGUUCACUCUGGGACGUUAUCUAACAAGAAGGGGAGGGCAAACUACGUG